ACUCCUACGGGAGGCAGCAGUGGGGAAUUUUGGACAAUGGGGGAAACCCUGAUCCAGCCAUCCCGCGUGUGCGAUGAAGGCCUUCGGGUUGUAAAGCACUUUUGGCAGGAAAGAAACGUCAUGGGUUAAUACCCCGUGAAACUGACGGUACCUGCAGAAUAAGCACCGGCUAACUACGUGCCAGCAGCCGCGGUAAUAACGUAGGG
rnacentral:rRNA from 1 species